AUCUCUGUAGAGUCUGCAUAUCAAUAAGCGGAGGAAAAGAAACUAACAAGGAUUCCCUUAGUAACGGCGAGUGAAGCGGGAAGAGCUCAAAUUUGAAAUCUUCAAGGUUCUACCUUGACGAAUUGUAGUUUAUAGAAGUGUUUUCUGUUAGUAGAGUGGCAAAAGUUCUUUGGAAUAGGACAUCAUAGAGGGUGAGAAUCCCGUAUUUGGUCAUUCUUUCUAGCUUUGUGAUACACUUUCAACGAGUCGGAUUGUUUGGGAAUGCAGUCCAAAAUGGGUGGUAAAUUUCAUCUAAAGCUAAAUAUUGGCGAGAGACCGAUAGCGAACAAGUACCGUGAGGGAAAGAUGAAAAGAACUUUGAAAAGAGAGUUAAACAGUACGUGAAAUUGUCAAAAGGGAAGCGUUUGACACCAGUGUUGUUUUUCCGAAAAUCAAUUACGAAUGUUUUGUUUUUGAGAAGUUAUGACUUCAUCGGCUUGCUUCUUUCUUUACGAAACUUUCUUAAUGCACUUUUCGGUUAACAAGUCAACAUCAAUUUCUUUUGUUGUAAAAGGGUAUGAGGAAGGUGGCUUUCUUUUCGGAGAAAGUGUUUACAGCCUUGUGCCUCUGCAAUCGGAGAGAUUGAGGUCUGCAGCGUAGAUCCUUCGGGGUUAGAUACAUUUGUGCUAAGUUAUAGCUUUUCAUAGACAACUUGUUGACUAUGUUUAGUCUUGUAGCUUACUCGCUUACUGCUAUUUUACCUACGCUUAGGAUGUUGAUGUGAUACUGCGAGCA
rnacentral:rRNA from 1 species